rnacentral:misc_RNA from 1 species
GAUGAAGAACGCAGCGAAAUGCGAUACGUAAUGUGAAUUGCAGAAUUCAGUGAAUCAUCGAGUCUUUGAACGCACAUUGCGCCCCCUGGUAUUCCGGGGGGCAUGCCUGUCCGAGCGUCAUUGCUGCCCUCAAGCACGGCUUGUGUGUUGGGCCUCCGUCCUCCUCCCGGGGGACGGGCCCGAAGGGCAGCGGCGGCACCGCGUCCGGUCCUCGAGCGUAUGGGGCUUCGUCACCCGCUCUUGUAGGCCCGGCCGGCGCUUGCCGACACAUCAAUCUUUUUUCCAGGUUGACCUCGGAUCAGGUAGGGAUACCCGCUGAACUUAAGCAUAUCAAUAAGCGGAGGA